UGAGAGAAGGGGACUGGAGACCCGUGUGUGUGGGAGACACUGCAUGUCACAGAUCCUUUGUAUUUUCUUUUGACUUGUACAGAUGCCAUCAGUACGGUUCUAUUAAAUGAACAACCAGCUGCAACUUGUGGUCCGAGUCCUCCUUCAGCACAACGACAGAACACAACGCAGAUGACACUACAUGACGGGCGUGUUUCCAAUGAAAUGCUGCUCGAUUAUGUUUAAGGAGACACCAGCGCACACUCGCAGUUGCAGAAUGCCGGGACGUCCUUUCACACUCGUUGCGGAGAAGUCUGUUACGGCUCUGAUACUACCUCUCGAUCCGGAUCAGAGCUGUCCCAGAAGCAGAGCCUGAUGUGAAGGUGGGAGAACCAUCCGUUCAAGGGGAGACCCCAAGGAGGAGACCCCCGAGUCACUCCAAACAGCAGCUGAGGAAGGUGGAGAGGAUGUUGCUGGAGGUCCUGAGGACCAGUCCACCAGCAGCAGCUCCAGCUCCUCUCUCUGAGGAUGAAAUGUUCCUCAAAAGUCUGCUUCCUUACCUGCAGGGAUUGCCACCCCAGAUGAAAGAAUUUGUCGUCAAAUUCAGAAACUGAUUCAUGAGUAUAUCACUGUGCUGCUUAAUCUAGAACAGUUGGAACCAACAGAACAGUUUUGGUUUCUACAAACUGAGGCAACAAUCUCUGCAGGGAACGAGCCAGACUUUAAUCUCCUUUCUCCUCUCUGUCUGAUCCCUCUCUCUUCAAUUUAACUCCUCCAAGCAAGCUUCUUCGUGUUUCUGUUGCAAACUGAUUUUAGUUUGUUUAAAUGUUAUGUUAAA